CAAAAAGCCAUAGAAAGAAUGGCCAUGAUAAUGGCUGCUAUGCUGAGUUUUUAGAUCUUUGGUUGGAUCCUACAUUUCAUCAUCCUACCAUGUUUCCCACAGAAGAAUGAGAGAUUGUAAGAUUUCCCCAGUCAAUUGGACCAAUACCUCCAGACAUCUUAUUAUAGACUGUGUAACAGAAAAGAUUUUAAGGCAGCCCUCCGGAACUGGCUAUUCUGUGUAAUCUUGCUUUCUUCACCACUGCUGUCAAGAGUAGUGGAGAGUGGAUAUGGUGUCUAUGAACAUGGCUUCUUCAUAUCCAGCCUUUUCCUACCUACAAAUUAUCCUUUCUGGC